UACGUAGGGGGCAAGCGUUGUCCGGAUUCAUUGGGCGUAAAGAGCUCGUAGGCGGUUCGGCAAGUCGGGUGUGAAAACUCCAGGCUCAACCUGGAGACGCCACCCGAUACUGCUGUGACUUGAGUCCGGUAGGGGACCACGGAAUUCCUGGUGUAGCGGUGAAAUGCGCAGAUAUCAGGAGGAACACCGAUGGCGAAGGCAGCUCGCUGGGACGGUACUGACGCUGAGGCGCGAAAGCGUGGGGAGCAAACAGG
rnacentral:rRNA from 1 species